rnacentral:rRNA from 1 species
CCUACGGGUGGCUGCAGUGGGGAAUAUUGCACAAUGGGGGAAACCCUGAUGCAGCGACGCCGCGUGAGCGAAGAAGUAUUUCGGUAUGUAAAGCUCUAUCAGCAGGGAAGAAAUUGACGGUACCUGAGUAAGAAGCCCCGGCUAACUACGUGCCAGCAGCCGCGGUAAUACGUAGGGGGCAAGCGUUAUCCGGAUUUACUGGGUGUAAAGGGGGCGCAGACGGCGAUGCAAGCCAGAUGUGAAAGCCCGGGGCUCAACCCCGGGACUGCAUUUGGAACUGUGUGGCUGGAGUGUCGGAGAGGCAGGCGGAAUUCCUAGUGUAGCGGUGAAAUGCGUAGAUAUUAGGAGGAACACCAGUGGCGAAGGCGGCCUGCUGGACGAUGACUGACGUUGAGGCUCGAAAGCGUGGGGAGCAAACAGGAUUAGAUACCCUUGUAG